GAUGAACGCUGGCGGCGUGCCUAAUACAUGCAAGUCGAGCGAACGGGGGAUGGGUGAGUAAUACGUGUAUAACUUCCUAUAAGACUGGCAUAACUUCGGGAAACCGGAUCCAAACCGGACACUUAGAGAUGGAUCCUCGUUGCAUUAGCUAGUUGGUAAGGUAACGGCUUACCAAGACAACGAUGCAUAGCCGACCUGAGAGGAGGAUCGGCCACACUGGAACUGAGACACGGUCCAGACUCCUACGGGAGGCAGCCGUGGGGAAUCUUCCGCAAUGGGCGAAAGCCUGACGGAGCAAUGCCGCGUGAGUGAUGAAGGUCUUCGGAUCGUAAAACUCUGUUAUUUGGGAGGCGGUACCUAAUCAGAAAGCCACGGCUAACUACGUGCCAGCAGCCGCGGUAAUAC
rnacentral:rRNA from 1 species